rnacentral:piRNA from 1 species
UGGCCUGGUGGCUGUGAGUGCCCAUA